AUGAUGCAGCAAGGGGUUGUGCCUGAUGUGGUGACGUAUAACUCGAUUAUUGAUGCGCUGUGCAAGGCCAGAGCUAUGGGCAAGGCAGAGUUGUUCCUAGGGCAGAUGGUUGAUAACAGUGUUCGACCAGAUAACGUGACGUAUACUGCAGUGAUCCAUGGAUAUUCCACUUUGGGCCAGUGGAAAAAGGCGACUAAAAUGUUUAGAGAAAUGACAAGCCGCGGUCUUGAACCAAAUACUGUCACUUGGAACUCAUUCAUGGACUCCCUCUGCAAGCAUGGAAGAAGCAAAGAAGCUGCAGAAAUUUUUCAUUCCAUGGCUGCGAAGGGCCACAAGCCUGAUGUCGUCUCGUAUCGUGUUCUGCUCCAAGGGUAUGCUACAGAAGGGUGCUUUGCAGAUAUGGUUGAUCUCUAUAAUUCAAUGGCAAGAAAUGGUAUUGUACCCAAUCGCCAGGUUUUCAACAUAUUAAUUGAUGCAUAUGCUAAGCGUGGAAUGACGGAUGAAGCUACGCUUAUAUUUACUGAAAUGCGGGGACAAGGACUGAGUCCAGAUGUAUGCACCUAUUCAACUCUUAUAUCUGCACUUAGCAGAACGGGUAGGCUGGCGGAUGCCAUGGAUAGAUUCAGUCAGAUGAUUUCUAUUGGCAUACAACCAGACGCAGUUGUUUAUCAAGCUCUAAUUCAGGGUUAUUGUACAGUUGGUGAUUUGGUGAAAGCAAAGGGAUUGGUUUCUGAAAUGAUGAACAGAGGUAUUCCCCCUACCGACAUUGUGUUCUUUAAUUCAAUAAUGAGUAGUCUAUGCAAAGAAGGAAGGGUUACAAAUGCACACAGUAUCCUUGACUUCGUUAUACACUUUGGUGAGAGGCCUAGCAUCAUUACAUUUAAUUUUCUGAUUGACGGGUAUUGCUUAGUUGGCAAGAUGAAGAAAGCUUUCGGAGUACUUGAUACCAUGGCAUCAGUUGGCAUUGGGCUUGAUGAUAUUUCAUAUAGUGCAAUCAUUAAUGGCUGUUUUAAAAAUGGAAGGAUCGAUGAUGGAUUGACCAUAUUCCGAGAAAUGCUGAAGAAAGUUACACCUACAACUGUUACAUAUAACAUCAUACUGGGCGGGUUAUUUUGUGCUGGGCAAACAGUUGCUGCACAGAAAAUGUUCCAUGAGAUGAUCGAAAGUGGAAUAACAGUGAGCAGUUCCACAUACAGGACAAUCCUUGGAGGACUUUGCAGGAAUAGUUGUGAGGACGAAGCGAUCACCCUGUUCCAGAAAUUAGGAGCAAUGAAUGUGAAGUUGGAUAUUGCAAUACUCAAUACCAUGAUCAAUGCAAUGUUCAAGGUUCAGAGAAGAGAAGAAGCUAUCGAUUUGUUUGCUGCAGUAUCAUCCAGUGGAUUGGUACCUAAUGCUUCUACCUACGGUGUAAUGAUAAAAAAUCUUCUAAGAGAAGGAUCAGUGGAAAAAGCUGAAAAUAUGUUCUCAUUAAUGGAGAAGAGCGGUUGUGCUCCGGACUCUCGUCUUAUAAAUGAUAUCAUCAGAAUAUUAUUACAGAAAGGUGAGAUUGUCAAGGCUGGAAAUUAUAUGUCUAAAGUUGAUGGCAGGAGGAUCUCACUUGAAGCUAGAACUACUUCAUUGCUGAUACGUCUCUUUUCAAGUGAAGGGAAAUAUCGGGGACAAAUAAAUUUGCUCCCUGUAAAGUACCAAAAUUUUGAUGGAUUUAGU
rnacentral:rRNA from 1 species